CCUUAACCUGCUAACUAGUUGCAGGUACGUGAGUAUCUGUACACUUCUUAGAGGGACUGACUACGCUUAGUAGUCGGAAGUUUGAGGCAAUAACAGGUCUGUGAUGCCCUUAGAUGUUCUGGGCUGCACGCGCGCUACACUGACAAAGUCAGCGAGUACUACCUUGGCCGAGAGGCCUGGGAAAUCUUGUGAAACUUUGUCGUGCUGGGGAUAGAUCAUUGCAAUUAUUGGUCUUGAACGAGGAAUUCCUAGUAAGCGCAAGUCAUCAGCUUGCGUUGAUUACGUCCCUGCCCUUUGUACACACCGCCCGUCGCUACUACCGAUUGAAUGGCUUAGUGAGGCCUUUGGAUCUGCUAUGAGGCGCAAGCUUGAUAGUGUGAGAAAUUGGACAAACUUGGUCAUUUAGAGGAAGUAAAAGUCG
rnacentral:rRNA from 1 species